AUACUAGACAGGAUCCGAGCGCGCCUGGCUGGAUGGAAAGGUCGGCCCAUGCACAUCGCGGGUAGAAAAGUGCUGGUGCGGUGCGUUCUCUCGGCCAUGCCCACUUUCGCCAUCACGGCCGUUCGUGCACCGAAGCGAUUCUUCAAGGAAGUCGACAAGGCAAGACGGCGCUUUCUAUGGGCGCAGGACGAGGAGGUCUCUGGUGGAAAAUGCAAGGUGCGCUGG
rnacentral:rRNA from 1 species